rnacentral:lncRNA from 1 species
UGAACAUAGCCUUGUUGUGUUUGUGGACACCACCUGUAACUUUUUUGGGUUAACAUUACUACUGUGACAUUUUGAAUGCAGAAAAACACCAAUGAAUGUGUCUACUUACGUUGAAUGUGUACUUUCGAGUAGCACAAUCGACAAGUGCUGGCCAAAGGAGGACGAGUGCGAUUAAUAUCGACCGAUUCCUACUCCGAUUCUCCAUUCUGUUUUUACUUCUUGUUCUGCCUCUGCCCCUCUCAGAGUUUGUAUACUUCUUACUACUAGGACAAAAUGUGUGUGACAGAGCAC